UACAGAGGUCUCAAGCGUUGUUCGGAUUCAUUGGGCGUAAAGGGUGCGUAGGCGGCGCGGUAAGUCGGGUGUGAAAUCUUGGAGCUUAACUCCGAAACUGCAUUCGAUACUGCCGUGCUUGAGGACUGGAGAGGAGACGUGGAAAUUUACGGUGUAGCGGUGAAAUGCGUAGAUAUCGUAAGGAAGACCAGUGGCGAAGGCGGGUCUCUGGGCAGUAACUGACGCUGGAGGAGCG
rnacentral:rRNA from 1 species